AGCCGUAGGUGUUGGUUUAGAACUUUGCAAAGUUGUUAGCCAUAGGGUUGGCAGCCGGAUGCCUUACUUACAGAAGCAGACAAGUCCGCGUAACCACUAAGCUGUUAACCUUGACUUUCUUCAAUUCCGUAGGUUGCGUAGCAAGUAUCACAACACUUUAGGACUUGGUGUAGGUUGUUCCGCGCUUGGCAGAGGUGAAGCUUAUCAACUACGUAGCAUGUCGGCAGUGGAUAAAACUUCGUAUAUGCGC
rnacentral:lncRNA from 1 species